UAAGUACUCCCUCCGUCUGGAAAUACUUGUCCUAGAAAUGGAUAAAAUGGAUGUAUCUAUAACUAAAAUAAGUCUAAAUACAUUCAUUUCUAGGACAAGUAUUUCUGGACGGAGGGAGUAUUUG
rnacentral:pre_miRNA from 1 species